UACAGAGGUGCCAAGCGUUAGGCGGAAUCACUGGGCUUAAAGCGCGUGUAGGUGGACGGGUAAGUAUCUUGUGAAAUCCCACGGCUCAACCGUGGAACUGCUGGAUAUACCGCUUGUCUUGAGGCACUUAGGGGCAGCUGGAACAAAUGGUGGAGCGGUGAAAUGCGUAGAUAUCAUUUGGAACGCCAAAGGCGAAAGCAGGCUGCUGGGAGUGAUCUGACACUGAGACGCGAAAGCGUGGGGAGCAAACAGG
rnacentral:rRNA from 1 species